AGGUUAUUGCGUGGAACAGGUCAGCAAGAAGGCGUGGCCAACCCCUAGGCUAAAGAUUUGAUCGGGUAUAUAGGGGUGAAGUGUUCUAAUUAAAUAUUCAGAAGCUGAGUUUUCUUCAUCAGUUAUUGCUCCUCUCUAAAUAAUGAAAGUUUUGGUGUUACUGUCUAUGGCUACAUUAGCCUGUGCUUCUAUCUAUGAAGCACCCCACCACAAAUCAGUGGUUUUAACGGAAUCCGACUUAGAACUGCAUCCAGUCUCUGUAUCUCACUAUCCUGUAAAAUAUCAUCCAGUAUUAUCCGUACAGAGCGUCCAUCAUCCUGCCGUGUUGGAUCACUAUCCAGUUCAGAAAUACACUGUACACCGCCCCCAUGGUUUAUACCAUGGUCCUCAUGGAGUUGGCCCCUAUGACCCUAAGCUUCAUGAUGAACUAGAACAAGCUUACUACAGAGGUUAAAAAGGAACUUCAACUAGCCAAGAAAGUUUCUUUGUCAUUGUUUAAAUUGUGUAUAUGUAUAUUCUUCCAUUUCCAUUUCUUGUAAGCAUUGAACAAAACCCUUUGAAAUUAUAGUACAUGUAUUAAUUUUAUUUUUAAAAGAUUACCACCUUAUUUAUUUUAAUUCAAUAUAGUAAUAUUUAUAUUUAUUUGGUGCUUUGUUAUAGCACAAUGUAAUUAACACUGCUUUAAAGAUGUAAAUUAUUUGUAAAUUUCUUUCUAUAAACAUAGGGAAAAUAUUUAUUUUAAAUUGCUAUA